rnacentral:rRNA from 1 species
UACGGGGGGCAAGCGUUGUUCGGAAUUACUGGGCGUAAAGGGCUCGUAGGCGGCCAACUAAGUCAGACGUGAAAUCCCCAGGCUCAACCUGGGAACUGCGUCUGAUACUGGUUGGCUUGAAUCCGGGAGAGGGAUGCAGAAUUCCAGGUGUAGCGGUGAAAUGCGUAGAUAUCUGGAGGAAUACCGGUGGCGAAGGCGGCAUCCUGGACCGGCAUUGACGCUGAGGAGCGAAAGCCAGGGGAGCAAACGGG